AGGCUAGUGUAGGGUCCAUGCAGCCCAAGUUGGCCCUGAUUCCUGAGCUGAGCCUGCUUGUGGUGUUCACAUGACUCUGAUCAUUGUGAUACCAGACAAAUGGUAUCUGGUAUCUGGUCAAUGCUAAUACCUACAGCAGAAUACACCGGUCCUCACACAACCUUCUUAGAAGAUGAGUGGAAUCAUUCUCUAAAUUUCAGACUGUCUUCCCUCCCUUUGUCUGGUGGCUCCUGCCUUCUGGUUUCAUGGUCUGAUUGUCUGUGUGUAGCAAGGAGCUGAAAUAACUACGUGGAGUGUAGAUCUGGGAGACAUAGGCAUACAUGAAAAAGAUAAGAGUCAGAGGGUAGGUGCACAAUGCAAAUCAAGAACAAAUAGUUGAAUGUCAUCAAAGGAGUGUGAACUGAAACAAAAAUGAGGUCUGAUUUUCACCUCUUUAUAUAGGACAAGAAACUCCUGGAAAUCUGUGAGGAGUGUUUUUCUGUGGCCAGGGUAGAGUCUGGAUCUUAAGAUUGUUGGCAACGAAAAUAAUUGCUCUUUAGUAAGUCUUAAGAGGUUCUGCAUGUGGGGUGGCAGCCGAAGUUGUCCCAGCAGGCUCUCCCUGUGUUCUGGAAGCUCUGGAAGCGAUUGGUUUAGGUGUCGAGACAGGUAGGACACCCAGAGUUCUUAGGAAUAGCACUAUAAUCUGAAUGAAGAUGUUUCACGUUGAUAGAUUAAGUUAUAUGCACAUAAUAUAAAACUUGUCUCAUUUGCGGAAAACAUUGGAUCUCUGUAAAGAUUUUUGUGAACACAUUUUUCUUUGGCUGAGCACAGGAAGGAGCAGUUGGGGCUGGACUGAAGGCAUAGGGG
rnacentral:lncRNA from 1 species